rnacentral:rRNA from 1 species
AUGCAUGUGUAAGUACAAGCCUAUGUAAGGUAAAACCGCGAAUGGCUCAUUAAAACAGCUAUGUUUCAUUGGAUCUGUACCCAAUUACUUGGAUAACUGUGGUAAUUCUAGAGCUAAUACAUGCACACAGAGUCCCUGACCGAGAGGGAAGGGCGCUUUUAUUAGUUUAAAACCGGUCGGCGGAUCUCGGUCCGUCACCUGCCUGUGGUGAAUCUGGAUAACUUCGAGCUGAGCGCACAGUCUCCGCACUGGCGCCGCAUCUUUCAAGUGUCUGCCUUAUCAGCUUUCGAUUGUAGGUUAUGCGCCUACAAUGGCUAUAACGGGUAACGGGGAAUCAGGGUUCGAUUCCGGAGAGGGAGCCUGAGAAACGGCUACCACA